GAUGAACGCUAGCUACAGGCUUAACACAUGCAAGUCGAGGGGCAGCGGGAUUGAAGCUUGCUUCAAUUGCCGGCGACCGGCGCACGGGUGAGUAACGCGUAUCCAACCUUCCGUACACUCAGGGAUAGCCUUUCGAAAGAAAGAUUAAUACCUGAUGGUAUGAUGAGAUUGCAUGAUAGCAUCAUUAAAGAUUUAUCGGUGUACGAUGGGGAUGCGUUCCAUUAGGUAGUAGGCGGGGUAACGGCCCACCUAGCCUACGAUGGAUAGGGGUUCUGAGAGGAAGGUCCCCCACAUUGGAACUGAGACACGGUCCAAACUCCUACGGGAGGCAGCAGUGAGGAAUAUUGGUCAAUGGACGCGAGUCUGAACCAGCCAAGUAGCGUGAAGGAUGAAGGCUCUAUGGGUCGUAAACUUCUUUAUAUGGGAAUAAAGUUUUCCACGUGUGGAAUUUUGUAUGUACCAUAUGAAUAAGGAUCGGCUAACUCCGUGCCAGC
rnacentral:rRNA from 1 species